AAUGGGCGCAAGCCUGAUCCAGCCAUGCCGCGUGAGUGAUGAAGGCCCUAGGGUCGUAAAGCUCUUUCGCCUGUGAAGAUAAUGACGGUAGCAGGUAAAGAAACCCCGGCUAACUCCGUGCCAGCAGCCGCGGUAAUACGGAGGGGGUUAGCGUUGUUCGGAAUUACUGGGCGUAAAGCGCGCGUAGGCGGAUUAGUCAGUCAGAGGUGAAAUCCCGGGGCUCAACCCCGGAACUGCCUUUAAUACUGCUAGUCUUGAGUUCGAGAGAGGUGAGUGGAAUUCCGAGUGUAGAGGUGAAAUUCGUAGAUAUUCGGAGGAACACCAGUGGCGAAGGCGGCUCACUGGCUCGAUACUGACGCUGAGGUGCGAAAGUGUGGGGAGCAAACAGGAUU
rnacentral:rRNA from 1 species